UACGUAGGUCGCAAGCGUUGUCCGGAUUUACUGGGCGUAAAGAGCGCGCAGGCGGCUGGUCAAGUCCGAUGUGAAAUCUCCCGGCUCAACUGGGAAACUGCAUCGGAAACUGAUCGGCUUGAAGAUGGGGGAGGGUAUUGGAAUUCCCGGUGUAGUGGUGAAAUGCGUAGAUAUCGGGAGGAACACCAGUGGCGAAGGCGGGUCUCUGGACAGUUCCUGACGCUGAGGCACGAAGGCCAGGGGAGCAAACGGG
rnacentral:rRNA from 1 species